AUGAACCUGGCAGGCUCGCGGGAAUACAGUACACAAGAAGAAAAUCUGUCCAAUUCCCUUUCGAAAUUCUUGCUUGGUUGGGAGGGAGUUCUUACCGGCCUUGACGGGAACGGUGCUCCAGCAGCUGUGGCCGUAGCGGACGAUGAAGUCACGGAGCUUUUGGUCCUCCUCCGGCGACCACAGCCCCUUGCGGUGCUGCGCCUUGGGCUUCUGGCACGACUUGCACCCCAUCAAUUCUUGCGAAAUGCCGGCCGCCACGGAGGUGCAGAACCAGCAAUGCUGUGUAGUACUCCAAGCAGGAACAACGAAGGAGGUUAA
rnacentral:rRNA from 1 species